rnacentral:rRNA from 1 species
UGAAUACGAGAUGCUAUGGCAUCGAAGCAGUCUAUGUCACACUUCCAAGAAAAGCUUGCACUGUCAUAAACAAAUAAUGCCUGUACCAUAACCGACACAGGUGGGUAGGUAGAGUAUACUAAGGGGCGCGAGAUAACUCUCUCUAAGGAACUCGGCAAAAUGACUCCGUAACUUCGGGAGAAGGAGUGCCUUAUUUAUAAGGUUGCAAUAACAAGAUCCAAGCAACUGUUUACCAAAAACACAGGUCUCCGCUAAGUCGUAAGACGAUGUAUGGGGGCUGACGCCUGCCCAGUGCCAGAAGGUUAAAGGAGUCGGUUAGCAUUCGCGAAGCUGAUAACUGAAGCCCUGGUGAACGGCGGCCGUAACUAUAACGGUCCUAAGGUAGCGAAAUUCCUUGUCGGGUAAGUUCCGACCCGCACGAAAGGCGUAAUGAUUUGGAUACUGUCUCAGAGAGGGGCUCGGUGAAAUAGUCUUGUCUGUGAAGAUGCGGACUACCUGCACCUAGACAGAAAGACCCUAUGAAGCUUUACUGUAACCUGAAAUUGAAAUUGGACUUUAUUUGCGCAGCAUAGGUGGGAGGCUUUGACGGUAUUCUUGCGGGAAUAUUUGAGCUAUCAGUGAGAUACCACUCUUAUAAUGUUAGAUUUCUAACUUUGGAUCAUUAUCUGGUCAAAGAACAGUUUCAGGCGGGCAGUUUGACUGGGGCGGUCGCCUCCCAAAUGGUAACGGAGGCGCACAAAGGUUUCCUCUGAACGGGUAGAAAUCGUAUCUAGAGUGUAAAGGCAUAAGGAAGCUUGACUGUGAGACCUACAAGUCGAGCAGGGACGAAAGUCGGUCUUAGUGAUCUGACGGUGCUGAGUGGAAAGGCCGCCACUCAACGGAUAAAAGUUACUCUAAGGAUAACAGGCUGAUCUCCCCCAAGAGUUCACAUCGACGGGGAGGUUUGGCACCUCGAUGUCGGCUCAUCGCAUCCUGGGGCGGUAGUACGUCCCAAGGGUUGGGCUGUUCGCCCAUGAAAGCGGUACGCGAGCUGGGUUCAGAACGUCGUGAGACAGUUCGGUCCAUAUCCGGUGUAGGCGUUAGAAUAUUGAGAGGAGCCUUCUUUAGUACGAGAGGACCGAGAAGGACAUACCUAUGGUGUACCAAUUAUCGUGCCAACGGUAAACGUUGGGUAGCUAUGUAUGGAGAGGAUAACCGCUGAAAGCAUCUAAGUGGGAAGCCCACCUCAAGAUAAG